CACCUACAAACAUUCCACACACAAAACAUAAUCAUGGAAUCCUUAAAGAAUAUCGUUUUCCUCAUCGUUGCUAUAUCUCUAGUUCUUCAAGCCACGGUGCCACCAACUGCGUUAGCCGCUCGUAACGAGGUUAUGUCCUCUGCCGCUGUAUCGAAAGUGGCUAAUGGUUCCAACGGUUUGGCUGUGGUUUUCGAGAAGGUAGGCUCUGGCUGCAAACCUAAAGGUUCGUUUUGCUUGUUUGACCUAACCAGUUGCUGUAGGCCUUGCGGAUGCCUUGCAGGGUGGUGCUAUAACUAUGAUCAUGAAUGCAAUGAGUACACAUAAUGGUCGCUACUGAGUUAAAAAGAAAAAAGAAUAACAGCUCUGAGUCAGAAAACGACAUGGGAUUCAAUUAUAAAUGUUCUAUAUAUAACAUAUGUAUUUGAAUAAAGAAUCUCUCGUGUUAUGUCCCUGUUUGGUUGAGCUCUGCCAUUGUUGUAAGAGUUCAUGUUUUUCGUCUUCUCGUUGGUGUGUUGGUAUUGUGUGUACCCUUGUUAUUGGCAUAUGUAAUGAUAACUAAGUUUACGAGUAUUUACCUAUUUUCUUUUAUGUAUAAUAAUUUGAUACUAUUGCUAACUUUUUUUUAUGCACUUUUAACAUUGGUAAAUGUUAAAACUUUUUUUAUAAAUAAAUCUAAUAAAUAAAUUUUCAAGUAAAUAAAAAAUAAAGAAUCAUGAAGUUGAUUUAUUAUUUUCUUAUUCGAAAGGGAUAAAGAUAAUGUGGAAUAACAGUUUUAUACCAUUCUUUUAUAACAUUUUUCUAAAAAAUAAUUUAAGCCUCUUGCUCAAUUUUAAAUAUAAAAUACUUAUUUUAUAUUAUUUUAAAAAAAUUAAAAUUAAUUAUUCGAUUCGAUUCAGGGUUUUAACUUGAAAACCAAAACGAGUGAGUACUAGCCUACUAGAGUACGUAGAUCCAAUUAGCAAAUCAACACUAGUUUAUACGUGCUUCCUUUGAACCGCUUCCAAAUCAGCUCCAAAAAACUGCUAGAGGCUCGAGCAACUUAAAAACCUCAAAAAAAAUAAAAAUUAUAGAGCUGAAAAGCACAAAAAAUGCACCGUUGCAGAGGCAGGUGAGCUGAAAAACUAGCAGCUGAAAGGGACAAACCCGUCACGUGCAGCUCUCCAAUAGCAGGUCAUGGAAUUCAGUGAAGAAAAACCACAGCAGGCAUAAGCAGCACAAAACCAGACCCAAACAGCUCAAAAAACAGAGUUGAAACAGUUGAUUAGACCCAAACCAGCUCGAAUCAGUAGCAUCAUUUUCUAUAUAAAGGCCUCCUCCACCUACAAACCAUUCCUCACACAAAACAUAAUCAUGGAGUGGUGCAAGAAGUUCGCUUUUCUGAUGGUUGCAAUGGUGCUUCUUCAAUCCAUGGUGCCUCCGACAGCAUUAGCUGCUCGUAACAAUGUUAUGGAAUACAAUCCAUUGGCAAGCGUAUUCUCGAGGGAAGGCCCUGGCUGCAUCGCAAAAGGCGGGUUUUGCUUGUUUGACCUAACCAGUUGCUGUAGGCCAUGCGGAUGCCUUGCAGGGUGGUGCUAUAACAUUGAUCAUGAUUGCAAAGAGUACACAUAAUGGUCGCUACUGAGUUAAAAAAAAACAGUUCUGAGUCAAAAAAUGACAUGGGAUUUGAUUAUAAAUGUUCUAUAUAUAACAUAUGUAUUUGAAUAAAGAAUCUCGUGUUAUGUCCCUGUUUAAUUGAGCUGUGCCAUUGUUGUAAGAGUCGGUGUUUUCCGUCUUCUCGUUGGUGUGUUGGUACUGUGUGUACCCUUGUUAUUGGCAUGUCUAAAAAUAAAUAUAUAUGUCAAUCAACUAAGUUUUAUGAGUACUUACCUGCCUCUCUUAUCUAAUUCAUGGACGGAUCACAUUUUAUAAAUUGAGCGAGGAGAUGUUAUUGUCGAGACUUGAAUCCUGGACUUUAAAUAUUAACACACAGCUCUUAACUACUUGCUCAAUUAUGGUAAAUAUCAUUAAUAAAUACUAAUAUCAACACGGAUGUUGGAAAUCACCACAGUUGGGUUGGGUGAAAAUCAAUAUGGAUGGAACGGUUGGGCGAAUGACUGAUAUAGCGACAGCAGGAGGAGUCAUCAGAGAUCAUAAUGUGAAGUGGCUGUGAGGCUGUUAUAGCAAUCUUGGUUCGUGUUCUGUGCUUCAUGCUGAGUUAUGGAGUGGUUGGGAGGGUUUCUUUCUGGCAUUGAAUUGCGGGUUUAGCAGGGUGGUUUCAGAAAUGGAUAAUGUAAAAAUAUUAUGUUCUCAGGAGAAUAAGGAAUAUACGGGUUAGCCAUGGGAAGUGAAGAUACAGCAUGCUUUGGUGAGGGUAAUUUUAUUCCAAAUGGUCUUGCAAACCAGCGGGUGAAUUCGAAUCCAGAAACACUUGUACUUAUCAGUGCACUAGACGAGAUCUUGAGAGAAUUACAUGAUGAAGCAUGCCAAAUUGGGUAUGGCAGGGUGUGAGUGUCUUAGUUGUAACUUUGUAUAGCUUUUUAUUUUACUCACGAAUUAAAAAAUAAUAUAAAUUCACGUAACUAAAUAAUAUUGCUUAAAGUGGUAUGAAGUAUGGAAUACUGGGGAAUUAUUAUACUUCUGUUUUUUGAAUUAUAUUUUAAAAUUCAUAUAUGUUUGUGGGAUCAAUUGGAUAUAUAAAAAGGACUGAUGUAAUUAUGCUUUCACUUUCAUUAUUAAGAUUAUCAAUUUAGUUUGUUAGUUGACAUAUAUGUUUAUUAAUAAAGUUAGCUUUUGAAAAAUAAAUAAAGUUAGCAAGAUUUAUGUACCAUCCUACCUAGGGUGGGACGAAUUUUUGCUUGUCCCUACUCAAACAAGAUGAACCCAACUUAAAUUUUAUUUAAUUAUUUUGUUUUUUAUUUUAAAAAUUAAUUUUUUGAGUUUACACAUAUAUAUAAUUAUAUGGCAGUGACAUUUUUGCAAAUAUUUAGGGACGGGUUGAGGGGAUUUACCUCAAACCCAAUUCCAACCCCUUAGCAUUUGAAUUUAUUGAAAUGCUUGGAGCAGAAGUCCAUUUAUUAUUGUUACAGUAUGCUUUUUUUUGUGCAAAGCUUGCUCUCGGAUUGCAAAGAAAAUCAAUUGGAUUUUGAUAGGAAGCUUUACCUAGUAUCUUUAUUUUUGUAAUCCCAGCCUUAUGGAUUUUAAUUUUAUGGUAAAAGUUCUAGGAAAGCCCUUAUACUUAAGGAGUGGAUUGCAUUUCGGCUCUUUCUAUUGAAAAAAUAAGUAAAUUAAUCUUUAUAUAUUUUGAAACGUGUAAAUUAAUUCGUCCAUUAAAUUUUAUGACGUGGAACGUUAAUUUAAAUGGUUGAUUACUAGUUUAAUCCCUGAACUAUAGUUAAAAUAUCAUUCUUUUUAAAAAUUCUUAACAAUAAUUCUAAAAAAUUAAAAAAAAAUCUUAAAAAUAAAUAUAACUUAUUAAAAAUUAUGUUAAAAUAUUUUAAAAAAUAAAAAUUAUAAAUAAAAAAUUCUAGAAAACAAAACUUAUAUCUAUUUUUUUUUUAAAAAUUGUCAAACUUUCAAGUCGAAACUUGAAACCAUCAUAUUUUUUUACAAGACUUUCUUCCCUGUUGUAAAAAACCCAAAAAAUCAAAAAGGUUUCUCAUGCUUGAUUGAAUUCAUAAAGAAAUAAAUAAAAACUUGAUUGAACCCAAGAAAAAUUAUCUAAAAGUUUUGACUACUCAUUUUCAAAUUUCUCAUACUUUCAUAAAUAUUCAUUUAAUCUUCGUCGCCUAUGCUUCCAACUAAAAUGUAUAUAAAAAUUUAUUUAAUGUUUACUUUAUUCUACAUUAGUGAAUACUCAUUUUUGCAUCUCCUAAUGAUGUAUAAUCAUAUUACAAAAUUUUGAUUACUCAUUUUCACAUCCCCUUAGCUAUUACAAACUUUCCUAUUUGAAAAAUCUUAUUGUUUUAUACCCUAGAAGCCUUAAUCUUUAAGCUACUGGGUUUUGAAUUUUUAAUAUAAAUGUGUGGGUUUUAUCUUUAAGCUUUAAUCUUGUUCGAAAAUUAGCAAAAGAUAAAUACAUUAAAAGCACAAAUUUAAAUUGCUAUCAUACCCUGAACCUAAACCCAUAAUUUAAUAGAAGACCCACCUUUGAACCGAUCUGACUCGACUAUUUUUCUAAUUUCACCCUAUAUGACCUACAUCGAACUUAAUUAUUCGAAAAUAAAAUUAGACCCAAACGGAUCGGGUCAGCACAAAACCCGUCAAAUUCACCAGGACGAAGACAAGGGGCAAGUAAUGCCCAAAAACAUAUAUAUAUAUAUAUAUAAUUUAGAUCUUUUAACAUUUAGGAAAUUUUAAAUUAAAAAAAAUACAUUUUAACAUUUUAAUCUCAAUAUUUAUGAUUCAUCUCUAUAUCCUUUUAAAAGUAUUUUUCUGGGUUCACCCUUACUCCAACCAUUCGUACUGCUUAGUAACAUAUAAACGUAACAAAUUAUUUAUCUCUCCCAUCAGUACUACAUGCACAUAAGUGCAUUCACUAUUCCAUGCAAUAUCUCAUUUGUCACAUGCAUUACGAACCUGGUCCCCAUCACUACAUGCACAUAAAUGCAUUCAUUAUUCCAUGCAAUAUCUCAUAUGUCACAGGCGUUACGAACCUGGACCAUCAUCUUUUCUAUAUAAAGGACCCUCCACCUACGAACAUUCCACACACAAAACAUAAUCAUGGAAUCCUUCAAGAAGAUCGUUUUUCUCAUCGUUGCUUUAUCUCUAGUUCUUCAAGCCACGGUGCCUCCAAACUGCGUUAGUCCUCUCGUAACGAGGUUAUGUCCUCUGCUGCUGUAUCGAAAGUGGCUAACGAUUCCAACGGUUUGGCUAAGGUUUUCGAGAAGGUAGGCCCUGGCUGCAAACCUAAAGGUUCGUUUUGCUUGUUUGACCUAACCAGUUGCUGUAGGCCUUGCGGAUGCCUUGCAGGGUGGUGCAAUAACAUUGAUCAUGAUUUCAAUUAAUGAGUACACAUAAUGGUCAUUACUGAGUCAAAAAAAAAAAAAAACACAGCUCUGAGUCAAAAAACGACAUGGGAUUCGAUUAUAAAUGUUCUAUAUAUAACAUAUGUAUUUGAAUAAAGAAUCUCGCGUUAUGUCCCUGUUUGGUUGUGCUGUGCCAUUUGUUGUGAGAGUUGGUGUUGUCCGUGUUCUCUUUGGUGUGUUGGUAGCAUUUUUCUCAAAAACAAAUUAAGUGCCUUUCACAAUUUUAAAUAUAAAAUAUUUAUUUUAUAUUAUAAAAAAUUAAAAUUAAUUAUUCGAUUCGAUUCAGUUUUCUAACUUGAAAGCCAAAACGAGUGAGUAGUAGCCUACUAGAGUAGAUUGAAUUAGCAAAUCGACACUAGUUUAUACGUGCUUCCUUUUGAACCGCUUCGAAAUCAGCUCCAAAAAACUGCUAGAGUCUCGAGCAACUUAAAAACCUCAAAAAAAAUUAUAGAGCUGAAAAGCACAAAAAAUGUACCGUUUCAGAGGCAGGUGAGCUGAAAAACUAGCAGCUGAAAGGGACAAACCCGUCACGUGCAGCUCUCCAAUAGCAGGUCAUGGAGUUCAGUGAAGAAAAACCACAGCAGGCAUAAGCAGCACAAAACCAGACCCAAACAGCUCAAUAAAUAGAAUUGAAACAGUUGAUUAGACCCAAACCAGCUCGAAUCAGUAGCAUCGUUUUCUAUAUAAUGGGCCUCCUCCACCUACAAGCUAUUCCACACACAAAAAACAUAAUCAUGGAGCGGUGCAAGAAGUUCGCUUUUCUGAUGGUUGCAAUGGCUCUGCUUCUUCAAUCCAUGGUGCCUCCGACAGCAUUAGCUGCUCUUAACAAUGUUAUGGAAUACAAUCCAUUGGCAAGCGUAUUCUCGAGGGAAGGCCCUGGCUGCAUCGCAAAAGGCGGGUUUUGCUUGUUUGACCUAACCAGUUGCUGUAGGCCAUGCGGAUGCCUUGCAGGGUGGUGCUAUAACAUUGAUCAUGAUUGCAAUGAGUACACAUAAUGGUCGCUACUGAGUUAAAAAAAAACAGUUCUGAGUCAAAAAAAUGACAUGGGAUUCGAUUAUAAAUGUUCUAUAUAUAACAUAUGUAUUUGAAUAAAGAAUCUCGUGUUAUGUCCCUGUUUAGUUGAGCUGUGCCAUUGUUGUAAGAGUUGGUGUUUUCCGUCUUCUCGUUGGUGUGUUGGUACUGUGUGUACCCUUGUUAUUGGCAUGUCUAAGAAUAAAUAUAUAUGUCAAUCAACUAAGUUUUAUGAGUAUUUACC
rnacentral:lncRNA from 1 species